GCGCCCGUAGCUCAGCUGGAUAGAGCGACUGACUUCGAAUCAGUAGGUCGGGGGUUCGAGCCCCUCCGGGCGCG
rnacentral:tRNA from 1 species